rnacentral:lncRNA from 1 species
GAUCUUCCAGAUGAGCUUAGUCAGAUCUAUAACACGUUUCAUGUCUCUCAGCAGCGAAAGUUCUUAGUGGAGGAUUCUGUAGUGGUACCGUUGGAGUAUAACACUCUAAAAAUUUCAACCAAUUUAAACUUUUCAAAAACAACCUAGUUUCAUUAAGUUAUUACAAAAAGGUUUUCAACACAAUGAUUUAUCAGAGUCUUGCCAGAACCAUAUCAUAAAAUGUAAUCAUGAGGAGCGGUACGAUCACGCCUUUGCCUUGCCACGGUCUCCUGAAGUACCUGAAACAUUUAAACCACAACUGUAAGCCCGGAAGCUUAGUGAAAUACCCCCAAAAUACCAACCACAUAUACCAUACACAUAACAUGCCAUAUCAUAACAGAACACAGAACAGCCAUGCACUUCGGGUCUACUGUGUGACUGGUCCGUCGUACCGGGCCUUCAGUCCACCUGGUCCACCCUCCGAGUCUAGCCAUAUACAUCGAGUCUACAGUGUGAUUGGUCCNNNNNNNNNNNNNNNNNNNNNNNNNNNNNNNNNNNNNNNNNNNNNNNNNNNNNNNNNNNNNNNNNNNNNNNNNNNNNNNNNNNNNNNNNNNNNNNNNNNNNNNGGUCCUCCCUUGGGACCUACAGCCUAUCCAGACCGCUCGUUGGGCCUUCGGAAUAACCGAUCCGCCCUGGGUAUGUUGGCCUACAGCACAAAGCAGGCCCCGCCUCAACCCAACCCCAGUUUAACAACCAUGUGCACAUAAACAUACAAUCAUAUAACAAUUCACAUCCAAUCAAACUGAUCUAGCAGAUCACAUAACAUAACAUCAUCCUAACUAGGAUACCGACCUAACCGGUCACUAGCAUAGCAUCAUCCUAUAUACCAGGAUACGACCUUAACCAGGUCUCUAACAUAUACCAUCCUAACUACCAGGAUGCAAACAUAGCAAAGCAAUAACAUAAGAACGAUACCGGAUUACAAUCCGAUAAAAGGCCGGCCUUGGUGCCUUAGACCCUGUUGAUAUAGUGAGGAUAACUCACCUCGCAACUUCCGACUGAAGAGAUAAGAUCACGCUGCUCCAACCUCUGACACGAACUUCACCACUGAUCAAUCACCAAAACACUAAACUCAAUAAAUACCAAAAUACUCGUGGAAGACAACUGGUUAACACAAGACUAUCUCUACUCACUGAGUCACCCCGCUGACUCGUCGAAGCCUUAUGCUCUGAAACUCCCAUAACACGACUCAACUCGUCGAGUCGCAUCAAGACUCGCCGAGUUCCACAACUCUGAGUCUAAUCGCACUCAACUCACUGAGUCAUCCCUUAACUCACCGAUUCACAGCUCAACCAGGAAAGGUUAAGACCUCACGACCAGAGUCGCCGAGUCCAGAGCAACCUUCAACAUACUCGCCGAGUUGUUCUUCCAACUCGUCGAGUUCCUUCCCAUCUUCAUCCAACUCGCCGAGUUCACCCAUGUGACUCGCCGAGUUCCUCUAGUUCUUAAUCCAUACAGUGGCUUUCCAAGCCAUGCAGGGGCUCCACUCCAUAGAUCUACUCUUCUACAAGCCACCCAUCACGUAAAGUGGCAAACUUUACGUGAAUCGAAGGAGAUCUAAGCAUAAUACACUCUAGGGCUAGGGUUUGGGACUAACAGGCUUCAUCAACAACUCUUAAACAGGGACUUUAUGCUCUUUAGGAUCAUCACUACACUAGAUCUGAGAUAGCAACCUCAGAUCCAUCCUCCAAACUCAAGAUAACAGUAGAUAUACUCCCAAAAAUCCCACAAAUGAUAGAUGUAGAUGGAUAACAACUCAAGCAACGAAUCAUUACCGCAAGAGAAGACUCCAACAGAAGAAUACGCCAAAACCUUGUAAAGCCCCUUGCUCCAAGCCUCUUAAUCUUCAAUGAUCUCUUCAACAAACACUCCUUCAAGGUCCAAAUGCUCUCUAAUUCUCUCACAAACGAAUAUUAGGGUUUCUGGACUGCAAGGGAGGGUAAAGAGGUUGGGGAGAGGGUAUUAUGUCCUUUAUAUAGGGCUCAACCCCCAGAAUUAGGGUUUUCUCCACACAGCACCAACUCACCGAGUCCAGCCGACGACUCGCCGAGUUGGCCACUUAACACGUGUCCAGAAUCGCGACGCUACUCACCGAGUCUACUCAUGGACUCGCCGAGUUGACCCUCCACAUUUUCACUUUGAACCUUGAACUUGCACUGCUGAACUUGGGAUGUUACAAUUCUCCCCUACUUAAAUUAGGCUUCGCCCUCGAAGCCUGUGACAACACAACUCCAGAAACUACUCUAGAAAUGCACCUCCCGGCAUUAACCAAACCAGGUUCCUCAAAACUCUACCACCGGAACCCGAAACCCAACACUUCCCCUGCGGUGUUCUGACCACUGCCUCAAGCCGACCACCGGCUUCAUCCUCUGAUAACCACACUGAUCAACCGUGUACCACUCCAUGAUACUUCACUCAUUCCAGAUCACAACAAUCACUUGACUCUUACAAGCUAAAUAUAACCCUGAACCACCGGGAUCCCAACCCGGUACCACACUGCUAUCAAUUUCCUCGACAGACAUAUCUUUCACCGAAUUCACUGCUGAGACUUAACCUGCUCCCUUUCUGAGUCCAACUCUAUCCCUUCCAUGCUGACAGGAUGGCACAUCCUUCAGCCUCAGAGUAACUCCCAUGAGUUCUCCUCCGCAAUCACAUACACAUACUAAACCGGCUCUAGCAUCCUUGGGUUGGGAAAACCCGACACACUGACGACACCUCCAAAUAUCCCCCAUGAUGAAUUACCACUACAUGCACAAUUUCUUUCUCACACCAAACUGGGGAUCCAAGGCUCCAUCCUUGCAUCCCUUCCGAGCCUCUUUGGCUCUACACCCUCGGAACUCCUUCCGUGACCUCAACAGACAUCCAACCCGGAUGUGUUUCCAUACCACCGACACAAACACACUGCUCAAUAACCAUAAUUGGAACACCUCAAUCAUACCUAUGCGCUACUGAUUUCACUUCCGUGAACUUACACUCCCUCUCGGAGCUACAUACCUUUCCCUUUCCUUAUCCAAGGAAAUCUAUUUGGUUGCCUUGUCAGUAUAACAAGUGCCACGGUGCUCACCCAAUACUACACCAUUCCCUUAUAGCAUAACCGCUAUCCCAUGCACCACACAUGCUCUGAAUCUGCUCGCAAGGACUCUCGAGUCCAUGCACUACCUUCCACUAAUCAUGAUCAAUACCCGGGGCCAGACCUUCUGAUGCUAUCACAUCGCAACAUAUUGAUUCCAUCUCCUCAUACAGAUCUAUCAACCCAUGCAGAGUCUUCAGCAUGACUGGACCGUCUUACCAGGCCUUCAGCCAUUCUGGACUACUCUCAGAACCUUCAACAUGUCUGGACUGCACUCCAGGGCCUUCAGCCUAUCUGGACCGUCCUCCGAGCCUACGGCCUGACUGGUACGCCCACCGGCCUUCAGUCUAUCCGGACCGCUCUACUAGCAUUCAUCAUCCCAAAUUAUCCCUCCUGGAAAACUCUCCCAUGCAUAUUUUUCUAGCCCUCUAGGGGCCUCGAACUCUAACUCCAUCCUACAUACUCAAUCCCGGCCUGAUCCUAGGCCUUCCGCAAUCAAUCGCCCUUUUUUCCGAAACCCUUGGUCUGCAUCCCGCCCUGUUUGCCUUUUACUUACUCAUACCCGCCUAUGCUCUUGGCUUACAGAACCGAUGCUGAAUCCCAAACAACUAAUCAAUCUCUCAUGCUUGUCGAUCUUCCGGAGAAUUUUCCAAUUCUCCCCACUUAGAGCACUGACUAUCCACCACCGGUCGCCAUAACCGACCUCCCUUAACAACCCUUCACAACACAUUCCCUUACAUGCGAAAUGAUUCCCACUAGAACAAGCAACCUUCACAAAAUCACAUAUCAACAUUGAUCAUCUCGGACUUGAAAGAAGCCCGACCUUCAGCUAACCACUCCUCAGACUGUAGAUGCUACCCGACAUUCAUACCAAAAGCCUAAUUUCCCACUAAUAAUCCCCAUGGAUGAUAACCAAUGAAACUCCCAAUACCAAAACCCUUAACCAUACCAUAACCCUCAAGGAACAAACGAAUACAAUACCAAAAAUCACACAAGAAGACUAGCAGAUAUACGAUACUCCAUAAUAAUCACAAGAUAACAAAUUAUCAAGAAGGAAGCAUACCCGCAACUGCAUCCGGCACUGCCCUGAUCUCCUCUGCUAUAAGCUGAAAAGCACGACCCUGAGCCCUCGGGGGCUCCGCUCCACCCUGACCUCCACCCGUAAUCCUCAAAGUGGCCGGUGCUGGAGCCUGCACCAGUCCUGUAGCAAGUUGUGGACAGUUGACCCUCAAGCGUCCAACCUGAUGGCAGUGAUAACAAAUGCUCAAAUCUUGAACCGGGGCUGUCUGCCGACAAUCCCUCGCAUAAUUCCCCUCCUUUCUGCACUUGCGGCAUGCACCACCGGACCUACAAACUCCAGUGUGACCCUUCCCGCACUUCCCACAAGUGCGGCUGCUCUGAUCUCCCAACCUAGAAUCAACGGUCUUGGACCGUUUCGGCGCUGGCUGCGACUGUGUCGGGGCCUGCCUCUGCUCUCUCAAUUGGAACUCAAUCUCCAACUCACGCCGCCGAUCGGCCUCCUGCAACUCCAGCAAGGUAUCGCACAUCUGCAUAGACACAAACUGCCUGAUAUCCUUCUUGAGCGUACUCAGAUAUCGAGAUAUCUGAGCCUGCUCCGAAGCAAACUCUGUGCAAAACAUCGCCUCUCCGUGAACAUCCUGGUGAUCUCCGUUACCGACUCUGAAUCCUGCUUCAGCUCCAGGAACUCCUGAGCCAACCUCUCCCUCUCAACUCGUGGAACAUAACGGGUACUGAACAUCUCCCGGAACUGAUCCCAUGAAACUGCAGCCCUCUGCGCAUCCGAAUAUGAUCUCGUGGUCAAUCUCCAUCAAUCCUUCGCCCCGAGCCUCAACAGUUUCAGAGCGCACCUCACUCUCUGAUCAGCAGGGCAUGAACAUGUGAAGAAACACCCCUCUACGUAUAACAACCAUCUCAUAGCAACAAUCGGGUCCUAAACUCCACCGAAGGUAGGGGCUUCGUAUUAUCGAAGUCCUGAUACUGAAAACCUCUACCGGCUCCUCCCCCUGCCGCUGCAACAACCGUUGUAGCUGUCGCGGCAGCCGUCUCUAUAAGAGCUGCAUAGUGAUCAUCAAAAAACUCGACCAUGUCGGUCUUGAUCAACCCACACAGUUCCGGCAACUCAGCCCAGAACAUGGAAACAACCUCAUCAUGCAGGAUCUCACGAAUCCUAGCAUCCAACUCAUCCGUGCUCAUCUGACCAAUAACCUCGGGCGGUACUAACUCACCCUGACCGCCCUCUCUUGCUCCCGAUCCCGAUCCGGAUCCACUCCCAGCAUGCCUCGUAACCACCAUACUGAAAAUAUCGCAAAACAUCAGGCGCUCUCCUAGACCCCGGGAACCGUCUCCCAACCCCACCCUAGAGGUUGUGGCUUCCUUGAUACGCGUAUGGGUCUUGAGCUUUCAGUAGUACGGGACCAUACUACCUUCCACACCUACCCAUAUUUAUACCAAGUAUCACCACAACACCCUAUAUGAUGGUCAUACAUAGCAAGCACUCAACCCUCACUCCUAGAGGAACACUGGAAAUCUCAUACAAAAGGAAACCCUAGGCUAGCAGGCAUCAUAAAUCAGGCAACUCUAUCAUGAAAUUCCUGAAGAUCCCUAGCCUAGUACUUGCAUGCUGUUCUAUCAUAUCUCAAAACAAAUAUCUUGUAUGGUAUUUUGGGGUUACUUACUGGCUCCGGCUGAUCGUACUUCCGCAUCCUCUUUUACUCAUUUUGAAAACCAUUUUAAAUUCUCUUUUGAAAACUCUCCUUGAUUUGAGACAGGAUUCACACGAAUGUUCCUCCAAUUCACUCAAACCAAGGCUCUGAUACCAACUUGUAACGCUCUAAAAAUUUCAACCAAUUUAAACUUUUCAAAAACUAACUAGUUUCAUUAAGUUAUUACAAAAAGGUUUUCAACAAAAUUAUUUAUCAGAGUAUUCCCAGAACCAUAUCAUAAAACAUAAUCAUGAGGAGCGGUACGAUCAUGCCUUUGCCUUGCCACGGUCUCCUGAAGUACCUGAAACAUUUAAACCACAACUGUAAGCCCGGAAGCUUAAUGAAAUACCCCCAAAAUACCAACCACAUAUACCAUACACAUAACAUGCCACAUCAUAACAAAACACAGAACAGUCAUGCACUUCGGGUCUACUGUGUGACUGGUCCGCCGUACCGGGCCUUCAGUCCACCUGGUCCACCCUCCGAGUCUAGUCAUAUACAUCGAGUCUACAGUGUGAUUGGUCCGCCC